rnacentral:rRNA from 1 species
CAAUACAACAGGGAUUGCCCCAGUCACGGCGAGUGAAAGCGGCAACAGCUCAAAUUUGAAAUCUGGCGCAAGCCCGAGUUGUAAUUUGCAGAGGAUGCUUUUGGUGCGGUGCCUUCUGAGUUCCCUGGAACGGGACGCCGGAGAGGGUGAGAGCCCCGUACAGUUGGACACCAAGCCUUUGUAAAGCUCCUUCGACGAGUCGAGUAGUUUGGGAAUGCUGCUCAAAAUGGGAGGUAAAUGCCUUCUAAAGCUAAAUACCGGCCAGAGACCGAUAGCGCACAAGUAGAGUGAUCGAAAGAUGAAAAGCACUUUGAAAAGAGGGUUAAAAAGUACGUGAAAUUGUUGAAAGGGAAGGGCUCGUGACCAGACUUGCGCCCGUCGGAUCAUCCGGCCUUCUGGCCGGUGCACUCCGGCGGGCUCAGGCCAGCAUCGGUUCUUCUGGGGGGACAAAAACGGCGGGAACGUAGCUCCUCCGGGAGUGUUAUAGCCCGCCGCAGAAUACCCCCGGGGGGACCGAGGACCGCGCUUCGGCAAGGAUGCUGGCGUAAUGGUCACCAGCCACCCGUCUUGAAACACGGACCAAGGAGUCAAGCAUUAGGGCGAGUGUUUGGGUGUCAAACCCGCACGCGAAAUGAAAGUGAACGCAGGUGAGAGCUUCGGCGCAUCAUCGACCGAUCCUGAUGUUUUCGGAUGGAUUUGAGUAAGAGCCUUACCGCUUGGACCCGAAAGAUGGUGAACUAUGCUUGGAUAGGGUGAAGCCAGAGGAAACUCUGGUGGAGGCUCGCAGCGGUUACUGACGUGCAAAUCGAUCGUCAAAUCUGAGCAUGGGGGCGAAAGAC